rnacentral:rRNA from 1 species
CAAUAGCGUAUAUUUAAGUUGUUGCAGUUAAAAAGCUCGUAGUCGGAUUUUGGCUGAGAACGAACGGUCCGCCGUUAGGUGUGCACUGUUUGGUCUCAGCUUCCUGGUGAGGAGGUGUGCUUCACGGCCACUUAGUCACCGUGGUUACUUUGAAAAAAUUAGAGUGUUCAAAGCGGGCUUACGCUUGAAUAUAUUAGCAUGGAAUAACACCAUAGGACUCCUGUCCUAUUUCGUUGGUCUCGGGACGGGAGUAAUGAUUAAGAGGAACAGUUGUGGGCAUUCGUAUUUCAUUGUCAGAGGUGAAAUUCUUGGAUUUAUGAAAGACGAACUUCUGCGAAAGCAUUUGCCAAGGAUGUUUUCAUUGA